rnacentral:rRNA from 1 species
UAACAGAAAGCAGCUUGCUGCUUUGCUGACGAGUGGCGGACGGGUGAGUAAUGUCUGGGAAACUGCCUGAUGGAGGGGGAUAACUAUUGGAAACGGUAGCUAAUACCGCAUAACGUCGCAAGACCAAAGAGGGGGACCUUCGGGCCUCUUGCCAUCGGAUGUGCCCAGAUGGGAUUAGCUAGUAGGUGGGGUAAAGGCUCACCUAGGCGACGAUCCCUAGCUGGUCUGAGAGGAUGACCAGCCACACUGGAACUGAGACACGGUCCAGACUCCUACGGGAGGCAGCAGUGGGGAAUAUUGCACAAUGGGCGCAAGCCUGAUGCAGCCAUGCCGCGUGUAUGAAGAAGGCCUUCGGGUUGUAAAGUACUUUCAGCGGGGAGGAAGGGAGUAAAGUUAAUACCUUUGCUCAUUGACGUUACCCGCAGAAGAAGCACCGGCUAACUCCGUGCCAGCAGCCGCGGUAAUACGGAGGGUGCAAGCGUUAAUCGGAAUUACUGGGCGUAAAGCGCACGCAGGCGGUUUGUUAAGUCAGAUGUGAAAUCCCCGGGCUCAACCUGGGAACUGCAUCUGAUACUGGCAAGCUUGAGUCUCGUAGAGGGGGGUAGAAUUCCAGGUGUAGCGGUGAAAUGCGUAGAGAUCUGGAGGAAUACCGGUGGCGAA